CUUGAUGGAACCCAACCACAGGGGCUGGUCCUCGGACCGGUCGCGACCGUACGUGGCCAGCAGCGCCUGCGCCUC
rnacentral:antisense_RNA from 1 species